UCCCACACAAUGGGCAUGAAGGGAACUAUUAUUUCUCCUUUUACUAAAGAAUAUCGUGUACUGUACUCAUUGCAUGAAGUGGCAUUCCUUUAUUUUUGUAAGGUGACUUUCUGUUGAACU